UACGUAGGGGGCAAGCGUUGUCCGGAAUCAUUGGGCGUAAAGCGCGCGUAGGCGGCCCGGUAAGUCCGUUGUGAAAGUCAAAGGCUCAACCUUUGAACGCCGAUGGAUACUGCCGGGCUAGAGUCCGGAAGAGGCGAGUGGAAUUCCUGGUGUAGCGGUGGAAUGCGCAGAUAUCAGGAGGAACACCAAUAGCGAAGGCAGCUCGCUGGGACGGUACUGACGCUGAGGCACGAAAGCGUGGGGAGCAAACAGG
rnacentral:rRNA from 1 species